rnacentral:lncRNA from 1 species
CGACAGAUGACGACACUUUCCACUCGAUAAGAGUACUAAGUGGAGGGGUCAAACCAGCCUUUCCACCGGCUGCCCACCCCGGUGGAGGGAUCUGUUCGAUGGUGGAGGAUGGUAUGGACGGGCCGGACUCUGACCCCACCAUAAAUAUUUUGGAGGGUAGAAGCCCAGACUCGAAGCAGAGUCUUCCAGAGUGGAAAGCCGAAGCGUUUUUCCAGACGGCCAAUUCGGCCGACUAUCGGUGACGGUUAGUCGUUAACGAAAAUCCAGAAUAAAUGGCAGAUUCUUAACAGAGAUAACUUCGAAAAUAUAAUUACGGCCGAGGAAAGGCUGUUAGUCCGAUUCUCGUAACUCCGUAAGGUUUUACUUGUCAGAUCCCAUCGGUAUUACCAUAUUGGCUUAAUUCUUUUAGCCAAAGUCAUUAUUACGGUACCUAGUCUUCGUAGUUAGCACUCAUUCGACUACGGAACCGAAGAGUAUUACGGAUGAUGAAUGGUUGGCAGCCGAUCUAACCCAAGAUUCCUUGAUCCAUCUCAUUCUUUGGGUUAUGUUCCACUACUACUUCAACCGGGAAGUUAAACUGUGACCAAUCUUUGCCAAUUAGUGCUGGCCAAAGACGAACCCAGCUACCAUUCCUUCUCUUUGUAAAUUUAUCCGAAAUGAUCCUAUUAUAUUAUACCGGCUAGCGUGAUUUUCUCCUUGGCUCCGGGUAAUGGUUGGACGAAAUUUAAAGAGAAAUCAAUCCCCCGCCAUCCAAACAUCUAAACAUAUUACCAACCAAAUAAAACUCACUCCUAAAUUUCGAAUAACCGAGAAAUGAAUUCUAAGUUAAUUUUCCUUAGCCUGAGUGGAAAAAGUCGAUAGGCCGAUCUGGAUUUCAUCAAAUACAUCGUAUCUCCCUAUACUGUACCGAUAUAGUUGGGAAGCGGAUCUUCUCGGGGGAUGUUAAAACUGUAUUUUCGACCAAACGUCGAAAUCGAUUUUUUCCUCCCAACAACUCAACAGUUGGUCAAUCUACGGAUGUAAUAUAUAGUAAAAUUCAAAACAUAAGCCAACCGUAAAACUAUUUGUUUCUGGCUGAAAUUUUCCACUAGUCGACCUGGUCCGGAUUAAUUCCUCUUUCCGUACCGUUUAAAUCUGUUGUAAUAACCAUUCUAUCCACGUAAAAUUUACUGGUUUCUAAUAGACCGACAAAUAAUCAUCAUAAUAUAUGCAAAUUAUCCCUUAUAUUUUCAAUUAUUAUUACAGUAUAUACACAAUGAAUACAGUCGUAUAUUAUCACUCGAAUGGUAGUUACCCGCCUCUAGGCAAUAGCUGGGUUACAGUUGACUGGCCAGAAACCACAUUACCGGGGAAAGAAAUAUCUUACCUACUUAGUAGUAGUAGUAAUAAUAGAGAGGGAGGAGCCUAUACAGCUCAAGCACUGCGACCAAUAUAGGU